AGUGAACGCUGGCGGUAGGCCUAACACAUGCAAGUCGAGCGGCAGCACAGGAGAGCCUGCUCUCUGGUGGCGAGUGGCGGACGGGUGAGGAAUACAUCGGAAUCUACUCUGUCGUGGGGGAUAACGUAGGGAAACUUACGCUAAUACCGCAUACGACCUACGGGUGAAAGCAGGGGACCUUCGGGCCUUGCGCGAUUGAAUGAGCCGAUGUCGGAUUAGCUAGUUGGCGGGGUAAAGGCCCACCAAGGCGACGAUCCGUAGCUGGUCUGAGGGGAUGCUCAGCCACACUGGACCUGAGACACGGUCCAGACUCCUACGGGAGGCAGCAGUGGGGAAUAUUGGACAAUGGGCGCAAGCCUGAUCCAGCCAUACCGCGUGGGUGAAGAAGGCCUUCGGGUUGUAAAGCCCUUUUGUUGGGAAAGAAAUCCAGCUGGCUAAUACCCGGUUGGGAUGACGGUACCCAAAGAAUAAGCACCGGCUAACUUCGUGCCAGCAGCCGCCGUAA
rnacentral:rRNA from 1 species